AUUGAACGCUGGCGGCAUGCCUUACACAUGCAAGUCGAACGGUAACGCGGGGCAACCUGGCGACGAGUGGCGAACGGGUGAGUAAUGUAUCGGAACGUGCCCAGUAGUGGGGGAUAGCCCGGCGAAAGCCGGAUUAAUACCGCAUACGACCUAAGGGUGAAAGCGGGGGAUCGCAAGACCUCGCGCUAUUGGAGCGGCCGAUAUCAGAUUAGCUAGUUGGUGGGGUAAAGGCCUACCAAGGCGACGAUCUGUAGCUGGUCUGAGAGGACGACCAGCCAAACUGGGACUGAGACACGGCCCAGACUCCUACGGGAGGCAGCAGUGGGGAAUUUUGGACAAUGGGCGAAAGCCUGAUCCAGCCAUGCCGCGUGCGGGAAGAAGGCCUUCGGGUUGUAAACCGCUUUUGUCAGGGAAGAAAAGGCUCGAACUAAUACUUUGGGCUCAUGACGGUACCUGAAGAAUAAGCACCGGCUAACUACGUGCCAGCAGCCGCGGUAAUAC
rnacentral:rRNA from 1 species